rnacentral:rRNA from 1 species
UACAGAGGGUGCGAGCGUUGUUCGGAAUUACUGGGCGUAAAGGGCGCGUAGGCGGUUUAACAAGUCUGUUGUGAAAUCCCGGGGCUUAACCUCGGAAGUGCAGUGGAAACUGGUAGACUAGAGUGCAGUAGAGGUUGGUGGAAUACCCAGUGUAGAGGUGAAAUGCGUAGAUAUUGGGUGGAACACCGGUGGCGAAGGCGGCCAACUGGGCUGCAACUGACGCUGAGGCGCGAAAGCGUGGGGAUCAAACAGG